rnacentral:rRNA from 1 species
CGUCGAGCUACUACGGUAGUGAAGUCAUUGAUGCCAUGCUUCCAGGAAAAGCCUCUAAGCUUCAGAUUGUAAGGAAUCGUACCCCAAACCGACACAGGUGGUCGGGUAGAGAAUACCAAGGCGCUUGAGAGAACUCGGGUGAAGGAACUAGGCAAAAUGGUACCGUAACUUCGGGAGAAGGUACGCUCUUGAUGGUGAAGUCCCUUGCGGAUGGAGCUGACGAGAGUCGCAGAUACCAGGUGGCUGCAACUGUUUAUUAAAAACACAGCACUGUGCAAAAUCGUAAGAUGACGUAUACGGUGUGACGCCUGCCCGGUGCCGGAAGGUUAAUUGAUGGGGUUAGCGCAAGCGAAGCUCUUGAUCGAAGCCCCGGUAAACGGCGGCCGUAACUAUAACGGUCCUAAGGUAGCGAAAUUCCUUGUCGGGUAAGUUCCGACCUGCACGAAUGGCGUAAUGAUGGCCACGCUGUCUCCACCCGAGACUCAGUGAAAUUGAAAUCGCUGUGAAGAUGCAGUGUACCCGCGGCUAGACGGAAAGACCCCGUGAACCUUUACUACAGCUUGGCACUGAACAUUGAACCUACAUGUGUAGGAUAGGUGGGAGGCUUUGAAGACGUGACGCCAGUUGCGUUGGAGCCGUCCUUGAAAUACCACCCUUGUAUGUUUGAUGUUCUAACGUUGGCCCCUAAUCGGGGUUGCGGACAGUGCCUGGUGGGUAGUUUGACUGGGGCGGUCUCCUCCCAAAGAGUAACGGAGGAGCACGAAGGUGGGCUAAUCACGGUUGGACAUCGUGAGGUUAGUGCAAUGGCAUAAGCCCGCUUAACUGCGAGAAUGACGGUUCGAGCAGGUGCGAAAGCAGGUCAUAGUGAUCCGGUGGUUCUGAAUGGAAGGGCCAUCGCUCAACGGAUAAAAGGUACUCCGGGGAUAACAGGCUGAUACCGCCCAAGAGUUCAUAUCGACGGCGGUGUUUGGCACCUCGAUGUCGGCUCAUCACAUCCUGGGGCUGAAGUCGGUCCCAAGGGUAUGGCUGUUCGCCAUUUAAAGUGGUACGCGAGCUGGGUUUAGAACGUCGUGAGACAGUUCGGUCCCUAUCUGCCGUGGGCGUUGGAAGAUUGAAGGGGGCUGCUCCUAGUACGAGAGGACCGGAGUGGACGAACCUCUGGUGUUCGGGUUGUGUCGCCAGACGCAUUGCCCGGUAGCUAAGUUCGGAAUCGAUAACCGCUGAAAGCAUCUAAGCGGGAAGCGAGCCCUGAGAUGAGUCUUCCCUGAUACUUUAAGUAUCCUAAAGGGUUGUUCGAGACUAGAACGUUGAUAGGCAGGGUGUGUAAGCGCUGUGAGGCGUUGAGCUAACCUGUACUAAUUGCCCGUGAGGCUUAACCAUACAACAC